GAGAAGCUGUGGAGUCUCCCUCUGGUGAUAUUCCAGAACCAUCUGGACACACUCCUGUGCCCUGGGAUGACCCUGCUUGAACAGGGAGGUUGGACCAGGGAAAGGCAGGUGAUUGCAAUUGAAAUAGGACGUGGCAAAACCCACCAGAAGAGGUACUGCAGGGAAUACUGAAGAACCUACAUCCCGGAUUGCCCUGUCCCUUGCAGAAUCCAGCACAUGCCCUGGUUGAACUUCAUAUGGUUGGUGAUUGCCCAGCCCUCUGAUUUGUUUGGGUCUCUGCAGGGCCUCUCUUCCUUAGGGGAGUCAGCAACUCCUCCCAAUUUAGUGUCCUUGGUAAACUUGCUUAGUAUCCCUUCCAGUAGUGUAUCCAAGUCAUUUAUGAGGAUGUUGAAGAGCGCAGGGCUGAGGCUGGGGCCCUGUGGAGCCCCACUACUGACAGGACACCAGGCUGGUGUAACCUCAUCCUUCCAGACUUUGUACUGACCCAAUUGCUCACCCAUCCCAUGAUGUGUUUUUCCAGCUGUGUGCUGCACAUUUUGUCCAGAAGGAUCCUGGGAGCGACAGUAUCAAAAGUUUUACUGAAAUCCAAAAGGAUUACAUAACUGGCUCAUUAAUAUUUUAAAUUAGAUCUAUUUAUAGGACUAAUAAAAGCUUUUAUAUUCAGAAAACCUUCAAAGGUAGGUAUUUGCAAAAGUAUGAAGUCAAAGUGUCCUCUGUUUUUAUGGCUUGUUUCUUGCAGCAGAAGCCUGGAAUACUGUGUUAAGGGGCAUUAAAUCUGACAUUGCUGGCAGAGCAUCAACAUUCCAAUAACAAAAGAAGGUCUGGUGGGUCUGUUAAAGCUGGUAUCAGAGAUCCAGGCUGAUAUCCAAGUGCUGAGUCAUUGAGUCAGAAUAGACAUUGCUAUGAAAGAUUCUUAAUUGUUUAAGAACUUUCAACUCUCCUCUGGGAACACGAGGGAAAGGUCUGGUCACUUCACCUAACUUCAGCUAUCUCAAGCAUCCAGUUUGAGGCCAUUGACUGUGAAGAGAGAGAGGAGAAGAGGGCACCUGCAGGGCACAGUUCAUUCCUCCCUCUUUGCAGAUGUUUCAGUAAAGAAGGAACUGCCUGCCAGAGCUCUGUCCCAGGGCUGCCUUUUCUCCCCAAGUGCCCCGACAGCCACCUCACAGAUGCCUGAAGUUAAGGGACAUGAAUUCAGGCCUAACUGGUAGCUAUAACCGAAUGAUGGAAAUAAUGUGGCAGCAUUCCAGGAGGUAUUAGCAAUUCACAUAGUUCCCAGAUUCUUUUUUUAAACCAUCUUUUAUGAUUUAUGGAGGUCAAUUAUAUAAAGCCCAUCAGAACACAAGAAAUGCUUAAAAAUGCUGCAUUAGAGACACAUUAAUAUUAGUCCUCCUGAGGUGGUAAUGGCUGUAGCCUUCCCGGCCCUGCUGCUCUGCCCUGCUGCUUAAUGCAUCCAGUUUUUCUAUUUACAGAUUUACAGAUUCUAUUUUUGGUGUUAACAAAGAAUAUGAGCAUAUGUAUCAAACACUCUUCUCACAUCUAAUUAUAGUACUGCUGGCAAAGUAAUUCUGGAAAGUGCCACUUAAUUAAAUAUAAGCAUUAACUUUUUGCUGAUAGCUUAUCAGAAACAAUUAGACUUGAAAUGUGGGCAAUACACCUAGAGUUUAGAACUUUCAGGAGAAACAUUAAAAGCACAAAAUAACCCAUUUUCAAUGUUUUGCAUUCUCCAGUGUCUUCCUGCUGAGCACAACCUCGGUUUUCAUCAGUACAGUGUGUCUUUAGGUAAUGUAGAGGCUGCAAGUUUAUCUGGACUCUUUUUGUGUGCAAAAGCCUGAGCUAAGUGGAUGCUUUUAGAACUGGUUAAACCACUUUAGUAUAGUUUAUGUUUUUGCCAAUUCCUCCUGAAAUACCAGAUAUAUUCUGCUGAUUAUUCGGGGUCUGCACACAACAACCCAGGAACUACUGGGGACAGUCAGACGAACUCACAGCUUAUGCCAUGUGCUUAUUCUUUGCAAGGACAGCUUGAUCAGCAUUUAUAUUCACUAACUUGAUCAGAGAUAUGCUUUUUUGUCUGUGUGGCAAUGCCAAAUAUUAGUUAAUUCUAUGUAAUUUUUCAUCAAUAGCCAGAUAGAUCUUCCAGAUAAUUAUACCUAAAAUAUCUCUGCAGAACUUUGAGCUCUGCUGCUGUUUGCCUGAAAGUGAAGAGGGGAACAAAGAAAAACAGAGCUGUAAUGAAAAUAAUUAUUCUUAAGUAAAAAUACAAGGGCUAGAAGGAAAUAAUUCCUUCAGGUUUGUUUGACAACACAACAAAACUACAUAGCAACUGAGGGCAGACGCUUCUCCCAGGUCUAACAUUUGGGCAAGCAGCGGUAGCAGGAGGAUCUGAAAUAACACCAUCUGGUGAAUGCCUGCUUCUUUCUUCAGCAGUCAAGAACUAUGUGUAACUAUAAACAAAGAAUAAAAUAGAAAUAAUGCAAAACUACUUUUCAGUUAAAUGUUACACAGAAUGAACAAACAGCUGCUCUGGGAAUGCAGAAAAGAAUGAUGUUAAAUAUAGUAGGAAAUUUGAGCACACUGCUCCUAUAAAUACAUGAACCAAAGAGAAUGUAGGAUUCUGCAGAGCUGUGGACAGGGAAACUUAGUUCCAAACUGGAGAGCAACUAUUCUGGCAAUAAAUGUAGCCACAAUUUAACCAUCACACAAGAAGAACUCAUCUCUUGACAGUGUGAAAUCAAGCUGCAGGACAUCUGUGCCUGCCUUUAUGUCCCAUUUUUUUGUCAGUCAGAAUUCCCAUGUUUCUUUUCUCCUGUUUGACUGUCUGAUAGGCUUUCCUGAACUCUGGGCUACUUGACCUUCAGAAGACAGUCAAAAUACAGGAGUUUGCACAAGAGCUUGCACCUGGGUGUUUGAUACUGUUUGUGGCAGAAGCAAAUAUACAAAUAGGUGAUUCAAUGUUUAGCAUCCUAUCUAUAAACAAUAAUUCAGAGCUCAGUUUUUACCAAGUCCGCUAUUUUGCAUUGAUAAGAGAUUUGCAAAAUCCUUGGAAAGUCAAAGCAGGACUGGAAGUUGAAAAAGCAAAGCCACAAAAUCUUAAAUCCAACCCUUCCUGGUAAAUACCACUGAUUAACAACCACAGGAAUUGGACAAGGAAGAGAGUUACUGCCCCUUAACUCAGUCCCCAGUCACAUCAAAGUCCACAAAAGGUAUUUUGAAGAUGCUGCUGGAUUCACUAACAAGUGAGGCAGAGAGAAAGAUUAUUAAGGUUUUGGAGGCUGUGUCAUGAGGAGAGGCUGAGGAGAAGCUGAAGCAAAUAUGCUGCUAUUUCUAAGCAUCCAAAAAUAAAAUAUGCACAAUAUUAAUAAAUAUUAAAGUAGAACUAAAAGUAUAUUUAGCAUCGAAAAUAAUAAAUAAGCAAAGUGAAGCAGAUAAGUCUAAUUAUCCAAGGAGAUAAAAACUAAAUUGCACCUUCAAAGGGGCUGACAUGUGCUAGAAUUCCAGAAGUAGCUGAACCAGAAAUUUUUGUGUUUGCUGACAGAGUAGCAUUCUUUACUAUAAAUUACAGCUUCUUAGACUUCUAUCCAUGGAGUGUUUCUUUCCAAAGAUUCUGAAGAAGUUUUUACAAAGCAGAGCAAGUGUAUUAUUUGAAAGUCCCCCUGAAGGGUAUGAACCAUCCCAAAGCACCAGAACCACAGGAAUGUUUAGAUUGGAAAAGACCUCGGGGAUGCUUGAGUCCAGCCAUUAACCCAGCACUGCCAAUCCCACCACUGAACCAAGUGCCUCAGUGACACAUCUCUAGGAAUUUAAAAUCCCUUGGGAACUGUGACUCCAUCACUGCCAUGGGUGGCCAAAUUUACUCCACAAAAUAAAAGAGUGUUUCUGCAGAGUUUCAAGAAAACUCAAAUUAUUUUAUUCACAAAAGCAGAAGUCAAUAAAAAUAUAGAUAUCCUGAUCAGUUUUACAGACCAUGUUCAUUUCUUCUCUCAACUGACAGGCAAAAGCAUCAUGUAAAAAAAAAAGGUAACAAGCAUUUACAUCACAAACCAUUAUUAACACAGAUUCAUGUAUAUGAGCAAAUAUUACAGGUCCAUCAAACAUUCCUCUUUUAUUUUUUCUUUUUUUUCUGUACUUUCCACUGCUGUUAAGAAUAUGUGCUAUCUCACUGUUAUUUAACUAAUAGUUUUAGUAGAAACUGUAAUGUAUGAACUCACUGCUCUCAAAGUGUUUUCUCUGAAUUCUAAACCCCUUUAUAGGACUAAACGAGGAUGUUUGUGCUAUAUUACUCAAGUGAUGCCAAAAAAAGAGUCAACAUUGCUACUAAUAGCAUCAGGAAGCUCAUUUUUUAUUACUUUUAUGGAGCACCUCCUCAAAAAAUACCUGAAGAUAUCCUUAUUCAAAUCAAACUGGUCAGCUCAGUGUUUAUGCAUGAAACUGGAAGGAAAUCUUUCCUCUUUUGAAGAUAUAUAAAUGUUCCCUAGAAAUCAGUUUUGUGACAUUUAUACAAGUCUGGCUUUCAGGACCAUGAAGGAAGACAACAGAGAUUAAGGACAAUUACUCCUGGUUUUGUUUGCUGUGAUUCUUUUUUUUUAAUUCACCUAUAGAUUAUAUAGAUUUGAUACGACUGAAGCCCCAUCUGGAAAAACUCUCACUGAAAUAAAGAGACCAAGUGCUAAUUUUAUUUCUUUAUUCCACUUUUAAUGCCUUUGAACUUUGUAGAGAUGAAAAAUUUGUGAACUCUUCCACCAUACAGACCUUGACAAAAACGUUUGUAGAACAGGUUACAAAAUUACAAACCCAAACUUACUUGAAAACAAAAACCAAUCAGAAAAUGCUUGCUUUUUCAAAAAGCAAGUACUGAACUAGGAGGAAGAAACACUGUAGUAUAGAAACUUACUUUAAGGAUGGGUUGUGUUGUACAGAAACCAACCCCAAAUUAUUACUGCUAUAAUUCUGAUGAUCAAAUCUACAAUAAUAUUUCAGGUUGCUUGCAUGCAGAUUGCUCCUGCCUCUGCCUACCUAAACUUUGGGAGCAUUACCACUGGGGGACAAUCCACUUUUCUUUUAAAAUCCAGAAAAUCCAGUUUCAUAUAGAAACAAUUCUUGCUACAUAAGUGCUACAAGAGAUCAUUUUGACCCCCCUGCCCCUCAGGACAUGACUGUUACCUCUCACACCUUUAGCUCCUCUUCCUUAAAAUAUCCAGCAACAGAGCAUUGAAAAGCAGGAGCCCCUGCUUCAUCCUCUCUGCAAGCAGCUGGCAGAGCUGGAAGCACUGGAAGCACUGGUUGCCAAAGGAAAGCCCCACUCUCCUCUCACUGCAGCCUGGAUUCUGAAGGUGUUGAAGCUGCACAGACUCCAACCUGUGCACAGUGAAAUUGGAGCUACAACUGCUCUGAUGCUCUGCCUGUGCCAGAGUCACUCCAUGCACAGGAUACACAGACAGCACCAAGUGCUGCAGAACGAAGAAAUAAAUCAUCAGAGUAUUGUCAGCAAACUCAAGUCUUCUCCUGAAAGUCCUGCUGCUCUGGGAUUCCUGCAAUUCAACUCUGUGCAAGUCACACUUCCCCCGGCCUACCCUCCCUGUGGCACCCGCUGCUUUCCUGGCCACAGACAGCAAUAGUGGGCACUGGCUCCUUUUCAAAAGCACAAAGUGGACGUCACCAGUCACCAGUACUUGGCAUGACUCCAACACAAUCUUCAAAAUACAAAUAUUUAAUAGAAAAAUUUAAUUUAAUUUUACAAAAUACAGAUACAACACUACCCAAUGUAGCAAAAUAAUGGAAUUGAAAAAUAAUUUCAAAAUAUUUAAAGCAUUAGGUUCUAAAAUAAAUAAUGCUAUCUAAAAGAAGUGUUCAGGUUUUGCAACUAGGAGGCAGUUUCACUAUUACUGAUCUCUUUUUCAACUUCUUUACAAGUUUCAUAAUUUAUGUAGAAAAAUAUACAAGAAAAGAAUUUGGGAUAAAGAACAGGUUGAGUAUGUAACAUUUAACAUAAAUAAAAAGCCUAAAGCAAACCAAAAAGAAAACCAAUCAUUUUAUUUCUGUACAUCAAGACUACAAAUAGUAUUUUAACACUUCAUUUAUUACCCAAAUUAAGAAAUUAUACAUUUUUAUAUGGUUACUAGUAAACAUCUUAAAACCACUCAGUUUCCCCACAUUUAAAAGGAUAUUGCUGGUUACUGCUUAUUAAAUAGGAAAUCCAGCAGAGUUUCCAGUAACAGCAAAAUAUUUUUUUUUUUGCAUAAGAGAUGAAUACAAAUUUGAUUGUAAUUUUUGAUGAUUUAAAAUAUAGGAGUUCAGAGGGAUGGACUGAUUAAUCUUAUAGUCCGAACUGUAAUUCCUUUUCUAAACUCACUGCAGUUUGCAAAUGAAACCCUACGAUGUGCCUACUACGAGAGGAUCAGCUCCUUCCAUACAAGAGCCAUUUUUUCCGCAGAUAUCAAAUUAUAUUCAGCAGCAUAUUCCCACUUACUUUUCUCAGCAGAAAUACUGUAGGGGAAUGGAUACAAAAGCUGUUUAAUCACAAAAAAAAAGUUAAUUUUAUUAGUGUCUACGACACAGAUAUGGCAUUUAAGAUGGAAAGAAAUGACAGGGAAAAGGAAUGUGAACACCACAGGCUUCAAAUAUAAAAGAUAAAGCCUGAUAACUUUGGUUCAAAGAACUUUAAUAAUUAUUACAUGUAUAUUUUUCCAAUGUGGUGAUUUCUCUAUGUACUGUGUAUGCAAUAGGAGAUUGACUCAUUUAAAACCAACCAACCAACCAAUCAACAAACCUGUAUAGGCACAAAAGACAGAAACAGAACAGAGAAAACCUGGAAAGUCACAUCCAUUCAGAACAGUGUCCAAGUGAUAAUGAGUCAGCAAAGGUUGAACUUAAAAUAAUGCAAAUCCAUUUUCUUCCAAGUGUUUCAGAAUGCACAAAUGGAAUAUUACACCCAUUUUAUCUCAGUGCCUACCAUCUUGAGGGAAGGUAGUAUGAAACAAAAUCAGUUCUGCAACAACUAUCAUAGAAUCAUGGACUAUGCUGAGUUGGAAGGGGCCAAUCAGGAUCAUCCAGUCCAACUCCUGGUCCUGCACAGGACACCCCGAGAGUCACAAGUAUCUGAGAGCAUUGUUCAAACACUUCUUGAACUCUGGCAGACUUGGGGCUGUGACACUGCCCUGGGGAACCUGUUCAGUGCCCAAUCACCCUCUGGGUGAGAAACCAUUUUGUGAUACCCAACCUGAAUCUUUCCCAAUCCAGUUCCAUGCUGUUUCCUCGGGUCCCGUCACUGGUCACCACAGAGGAGAGAUCAGUGCCUGCCUCUCCUCUCCCCCUCACAAGGAAGUUGUAACUGCAACGAGGUCUCCCCUCAGUCUCCUCCAGGCUAAACAGACCAAGUGACCUCAGCCACUCCUCACACAGCUUCCCCUUCAGGCCCUUCACCACCCUCAUGGCCUCCUCUGGAUGCUCUCUAAAGGCUCAAUGUCUUCUUUAUAUUGUGCCAUCCAAAACUGCCCCAGCCCAGAGCAGAGCGGGACAGUCCCCUCCCUUGCCUGGCUGGUGAUGCUGUGCCUAAUGCCCCCAGGACAGGCCUGUCCCUCCUGGCUUGUGUUCAACUUGCCAUAAAUAAACCAGCACCCCCAGGUCCCUUUUCACAACUGCUCUCCAGCCUCUCAUUCUCCAGUCUGUCCACACAGCCAGGGCCCUGUCCCAGGUACAGAAUCCAGCACUUGCC